UCAUCUCCCUCUUCUCUCUCCUCCUCCCGGUGCGCUCCGUACUAACCAUCCAUGUCUCCGUCGUCUUCACCGCCGCCUGUGCUGGCCUCCUCCAUAUGUCCACGGUCUCCAGGUGCACGCCUGCGCCGGCAAGGUCGUCGUGCGGCCUGGGGAUGUGUUCGUGACACGCCGGCCGAUGUGGCUGGCGUGUGUAUACGCCAAGUGCGGACACAUGGUGGCCAUGACGAAGGCGUUCGACGAAAUGCCGCACCGGGGCGUGCCGUCCUGGAACGCGCUCAUCGUGGGGCUACGCAAGGAACGGAAGGUUUCCUCAAGGCUCAAAGGGUGUUUCAUGGAGUUGCGGCGCAGGGACAGGAAGUGCCGCUAAUCGGUCAGGUGAUAGUGCCAAGUGCACUGAGCGCAGGUAGGAAAGCUCGAUAGGUGGUUAAGACUGAAAAGUGAGAACUUUAGAGAACAGAGAAGAGAGAGGUUAAACGUCCUUGCAAAAAUUAAGCAUCUUCUUCAGACUGAGGAAUACAGAGACAUGCUGAUCAGCUGAUGUACACCAGAUCAGGAUGAUGGACAAGGAGAGCAUCCUUCACAACACGAAGUCGUUAUUUGGAGAUUAAUCUGACAGCCGUGUGGGUUGGGCCUAAAAAGGCUCACCUGCAGCAUUCCAGGGCUGAUUAUAAAGUUUCUUCUUUGAUCUUGCUUUCAACAUUCAGUAGUGGAAUCGUAGCAAUUUGCUGAAUCAUCAUCAAGCGAGAAAAAGCAAUCUCUUGGGAUAGGCUUGGAGAAAACUGACAAUUAUAUAUCCUAAGGCAAUAUCAAAAAGAUCUACCAUAAUAUUUCUGGUGAUGGGCGUCUUGAACAUGUGGCAGAGCUUGAUGAGGAGGCUGUCAUACCCAUCCAGCAAGAGCAGGUCGAGCUUCCGGCCGAUCGGGACGCCCUCCAUGUACACCUUCACGAACAGCGUUCGCCGUCGGCGAGCGC